AUAAUAUGCCCAGGUCUAUUACAGAUAAGAAAAUAAAAAGCUAGUAGUUAAGGUUUCAUGGAGUUAACCCAGAAAGAAAGAGAAUCGGCCCUAGAAACCACAAGUUCUAGCCGGAGAUGGUAGAAUCGUACUCGGACGGCUUGAGAAUGACAUAAAAACUAUGGGAGGUGAGUGAACCGCCUUCUGGUUUCUUUGAGGACCUCAAAGCAGCAACAACUGGAAUAGGAAAAGAUCCAUAGUGCUGGGGAUGGUGGUGAGACCACCAUGGUUACCGACGAGCCAACGGCCGGUGAGAGGAGCAUAGGGCUUAGCAGAGAGAACUUGAGAGAGAUGAGAUGGU
rnacentral:lncRNA from 1 species